GACGAACGCUGGCGGCGUGCUUAACACAUGCAAGUCGAACGGAAAGGCCCUGCUUUUGUGGUGUUCUCGAGUGGCGAACGGGCGAGUAACACGUGAGUAACCUGCCCUUGACUUUGGGAUAACUUCAGGAAACUGGGGCUAAUACCGGAUAGGAGCUCCUGCUGCAUGGUGGGGGUUGGAAAGUUUCGGCGGGUGGGGAUGGACUCGCGGCUUAUCAGCUUGUUGGUGGGGUAGUGGCUUACCAAGGCUUUGACGGGUAGCCGGCCUGAGUGGGUGACCGGCAAAAUUGGGACGGGGAUACGCCCCAGACUCCUACGGGAGGCAGCAGGGGGGAAUAUUGCACAAUGGGGGGAAGCCGGAUGCAGCAACGCCGCGUGCGGGAUGACGGCCUUCGGGUUGUAAACCGCUUUCGCAGGUGACGAAGCGUGAGUGACGGUAAUGGGUAAAGAAGCACCGGCUAACUACGUG
rnacentral:rRNA from 1 species